CGUACUAUCCCAUUUAAUUCCACCACUUGAUUGUAACUUGACAGAUACGUAUUAGGGUCUCGCCGACAUUUCUCACCAACACGUACGCACAGUUUGUGGUUGCAAAUAAUCCCAUUUGAUUUUGCCGUGACAGCUGCUCGUGGUUGCAAACAAACUGAGUAAAAGUGUGCGUGAAGUGUGCGUGUACGUACACGCUCGAAGAAAGCCUAAUUGGAACUGAAGUCGGGUCAAGUACGAGACACUGAAGACGGCCUUACUGUUGAGGUCGAAAUACGUAUCUGUCAACUUACAAUCAAGUGGUGGAAUUAAAUGGGAUUGUUUAAACUCGUCUUAUGACAGGUGAAAACAUUCCACUAAAAAGCUCAAAAUAAUUUUCUUAUCACAAGUCAGUCAAAUGCCGCUUGGUGCGUUUUGGCUGAACCCCGAUCAUACCAUAUUGUAAGCAAGCAUGCAUCUAUGGGAGCAUCCAUAAAUUACGUAACGCUUAGAGGGAGAGGGAAGGUUGACUGAAGUAUGACGAUUCAUAUAAAACAUUCAGAUGCUCCAUACAAAAAGUGUGACAUGGGGGGGGGGGUUGAAAAUGGCCGAAUUUCGCGUUACGUAAUUAUUGGAUCUUUCCUAUUUGUUUGAAUUAAAUUUUCACUUAAUUUGGCAGUCUGAUAUGUUGGCGAGCACAUACAGAAUAACAAGAGCCGAAAAAGUCAUAGCCCAGGUUCAUUGUAGUACAUUCAACGUCACAUCAUGCGCUAAAAAAAGGGAAAAUUAGUAAAAUGAAAUUCUAUAUCUUUUGCUGUCUGUUUAGUUGGAAAUACAUACAGAAUAAUUAGAGCCACAAUCCUAAUAUCAACCUAGCUAACCAACACAGCAUAGUGGUAAUGCUCUUCGGCUCUUGGAACUAUGCCAUCAGCGCGAAGCAUUUUUAGUCCACAGGUGUUGGCGCAAUGCGGUUCUUGAUUUUCGGAAGGCCUAAUUCAUUGUAGCAUCACCAACAUUAACAUUGAGCGUUCACUUGUUACUAAAAGAUAACUUAAAUAUGAUAGAUGCAUGCAUGCACAACUAAGGCAAGACGGCCACCCCAUUUUUAUACAUAAAAGUGCAUCACCAUUUCAAGUAGAAUAGUAUACCAUAAUGUAAUAUUCUAAGAGUGAAAUUAGUAGUGAUUUAAUUUCAUUGCAAAUUUUCACAUUUCAUUGCAACUAUUCUAAUCUGAAUCUGAACUAAAAUAAAACAAACUCACAGGCGUCCCGAGCCGUCUUCUAUUCACGUUUGAUUUUUUUCCAUUAAAUGAAAAUUCCAUUUAAUGAUUAUGUUGCUGCUAAGGAUGGCGCCGUAAAUGCAAAGUGGAUUGAUUCGUAUAUUAAAUUACGCAUUCAUGCACCAAAACAAUUGAAAAAUAAUUGAAUCUCGUGAUUCAUUCUUGGUUCAAACCUGCAGAAAAUAGAACUGAGCGGUAUAACAGUUUCAAGCUUUUGAAUCUCGACUGUUAUAAAAAAUGAAUCUUGAGCCACUGCUGGGAAAAAGCAUGAUUCUGUAACCGUUGGUUACAUUCCUAACUUGUGGCUCCACCACAAUUCCAAAUCAAUCCCUCCCACGACUAGAUACCCCCGAUUCAAAUAUGAAUACAGUAUCAUAAAAUGAGACAGUUGGCACUCACGCAGUGACCUGAUGCCUGUUUCACUCUCACGGCCAUCCGUCACGCUGCAGUGACAGGUCAGUGUCGAGCAGUUUGAGCAGAGGCAAAAGAUACACAGCCCUGUUGUAAUCGCGUCGAGCCCACAGAUGGAGCGCAAGUGUUAUGCUCUACAGGCUGUAAAAACAUAAUGCGAACAACAUUAUUAAUAUUUUAUCGGAUUUUUGUAUAAAAAGCCCGUCAUUCCCUACAGCUGGCUCUUUGGCUGAACUUUUCUAGAAAGGUCUAGAAGUGCGCGCGUGUGUAGAUUUGUAUUAAAUUAAGAGGUUAGAAAUGAAUACCUCCCAUGUGGUGCAAUUGUUUUAAUUUGGUGUUUUUGUUUCUUUGUUAGGUUCAGUUAGUUUGUAUAAUUGCUAGCACUGAUAGAAAUUGUUAGUAAUGUGUUAGUAGCAGUUACAGUUGUUAAAAAUAUGUAUGUACAGUGUUAAUGAGUGUUAGUAUAAAGCUAAAACUAUUUCUAUAUUUAGUUCUUAGUUAAAACACGUUGAAAAGCAAACAACACAACAAAGAAAACGUUAAAACCUACAAGAAAAAGGUCCAAAGCAUGGGCCUUUUUCUAUGUUUUUGAACUACUCUCCAGCAACCUCGGUGGCGAGAAUGGCCACAGAGCGUCGGCCUUAGCAGCGCACCGUUGUGUCAUCAGCCAAAUCUGCCAUUGUCCAUGGCAUCCCGAAGGUUCAUCGCAAAGGAACCACGAAAUCCGGCCGUACUUCACGAUUCCGAAGUCCCGCCGUCAGAUUACGUCACCAAAGUAGAGACGUCAUGCCGCCAAUGAUCGCUAGCGCCUGUCGCUAGGAAAGACGCUUCCGAUGCCACUAUCCGCCAUCUUCGUCAGCAUCUGCUGAACUGGUUCAUCGUAGUUCCGAAUGGACUAUCAGUGUACGGGACCGGAGGUUCCCAAUCUAAACCGCAAGUAUAAAACACCCCCUGCAAAAGUGACGUCAUAGGAAUAAAUAAGACGAUGUUUUGAACUGA